UACGUAGGUGGCAAGCGUUGUCUGGAAUUAUUGGGCGUAAAGCGCGCGCAGGCGGUCCUUUAAGUCUGAUGUGAAAGCCCACGGCUCAACCGUGGGGGGUCAUUGGAAACUGGGGGACUUGAGUACAGAAGAGAAGAGUGGAAUUCCACGUGUAGCGGUGAAAUGCGUAGAGAUGUGGAGGAACACCAGUGGCGAAGGCGACUCUUUGGUCUGUAACUGACGCUGAGGCGCGAAAGCGUGGGGAGCAAACAGG
rnacentral:rRNA from 1 species